rnacentral:rRNA from 1 species
UGCGUUAGCUGCGGCACUGAGAGGGUCAAUACCCCCAACACCUAGUGAACAUCGUUUACAGCGUGGACUACCAGGGUAUCUAAUCCUGUUUGCUACCCACGCUCUCGCGUCUCAGCGUCAGUAUAGGGCCAGAAAGUCGCCUUCGCCACCGGUGUUCCUCCUGAUAUCUACGAAUUUCACCUCUACACCAGGAAUUCCACUUUCCUCUCCCCUACUCAAGCUGAAUAGUUUCAAAUGCACUUCCUGGGUUAAGCCCAGGGAUUUCACAUCUGACUUAUUCAGCCGCCUACACGCUCUUUACGCCCAAUAAUUCCGAACAACGCUUGCACCCCCCGUAUUACCGCGGCUGCUGGCACGGAGUUAGCCGGUGCUUCCUUUAGCGGUACCGUCAAAUAUCAUGGAUAUUAGCCACGAUACAUUUCUUCCCGCUCGACAGAGCUUUACGGUCCGAAAACCUUCCUCACUCACGCGGCGUUGCUGCGUCAGGGUUGCCCCCAUUGCGCAAUAUUCCUCACUGCUGCCU